GACGAACGCUGGCGGCGUGCUUAACACAUGCAAGUCGAACGGAAAGGCCCUGCUUUUGUGGGGUGCUCGAGUGGCGAACGGGUGAGUAACACGUGAGUAACCUGCCCUUGACUUUGGGAUAACUUCGGGAAACUGGGGCUAAUACCGGAUAGGAGCUCCUGCUGCAUGGGGGGGGUUGGAAAGUUUCGGCGGUUGGGGAUGGACUCGCGGCUUAUCAGCUUGUUGGUGGGGUAGUGGCUUACCAAGGCUUUGACGGGUAGCCGGCCUGAGAGGGUGACCGGCGACCAUGGGACUGCGAUACGGCCCAGACUCCUACGGGAGGCAGCAGUGGGGAAUAUUGCACAGUGGGCGGAAGCCUGAUGCAGCAGCGCCGCGUGCGGGAUGACGGCCUUCGGGUUGUGAACCGCUUUCGCCUGUGACGAAGCGUGAGUGACGGUAAUGGGUAAAGAAGCACCGGCUAACUACGUG
rnacentral:rRNA from 1 species